AAUUAGUGGCAGACGGGUGAGUAAUGCAUAGGAAUCUACCUAGUAGUAUAGGAUAGCCACUAGAAAUGGUGGGUAAUACUGUAUAAUCCCUGCGGGGGAAAGAUUUAUCGCUACAUGAUGAGCCUAUGUUAGAUUAGCUAGUUGGUGGGGUAAUGGCCUACCAAGGCAGUGAUCUAUAGCUGGUCUGAGAGGAUGAUCAGCCACACUGGAACUGAGACACGGUCCAGACUCCUACGGGAGGCAGCAGUGGGGAAUAUUGGACAAUGGGCGCAAGCCUGAUCCAGCUAUGCCGCGUGAGUGAGGAAGGCCUUAGGGUUGUAAAACUCUUUCAGUGGGGAAGAUAAUGACGGUACCCACAGAAGAAGUCCCGGCAAACUCCGUGCCAGCAGCCGCGGUAAUACGGAGGGGGCAAGCGUUGUUCGGAAUUAUUGGGCGUAAAGGGCAUGUAGGUGGUUUGGUAAGUUAAAGGUGAAAUGCCAGGGCUUAACCCUGGAGCUGCUUUUAAUA
rnacentral:rRNA from 1 species